UACGAAGGGGCUAGCGUGCUCGGAAUCACUGGGCGUAAAGGGUGCGUAGGCGGGUCUUUAAGUCAGGGGCGAAAUCCUGGAGCUCAACUCCAGAACUGCCUUUGAUACUGAGGAUCUUGAGUUCGGGAGAGGUGAGUGGAACUGCGAGUGUAGAGGUGAAAUUCGUAGAUAUUCGCAAGAACACCAGUGGCGAAGGCGGACUCACUGGCCCGAUACUGACGCUGAGGCACGAAAGCGUGGGGAGCAAACAGG
rnacentral:rRNA from 1 species